UCUUAUCAAGAGAGGUGGAGGGAUGUGCCCGAUGAAACCCGGCAACCGUCAAUUGCUAAUGGUCAAUUGACACGGUGCCAAUUCACACAAAGCGCUUGAGCUUUGAUAGAUGAGA
rnacentral:ncRNA from 1 species